rnacentral:rRNA from 1 species
GAUGAACGCUGGCGGUGUGCCUAAUACAUGCAAGUCGAACGAGACCUUCGGGUCUAGUGGCGGACGGGUGAGUAACACGUUGGUACCUGCCCUCAACUGGGGAAUAACUGCCCGAAAGGGUGGCUAAUACCGCAUAUCCCGCCAGGGUAAAGUCGCAAGACGGUUGAGGAGGGGCCUGCGUCCCAUUAGCUAGUUGGUAGGGUAAUUGCCUACCAAGGCGACGAUGGGUAGCUGGAUCGAGAGGUUGACCAGCCACACUGGGACUGAGAUACGGCCCAGACUCCUACGGGAGGCAGCAGUAAGGAAUCUUCCACAAUGGACGAAAGUCUGAUGGAGCAACACCGCGUGCAGGAUGACGGCCUUCGGGUUGUAAACUGCUUUUAUAGGGGAAGAUUAUGACGGUACCAUAUGAAUAAGCACCGGCUAACUACGUGCCAGCCGCCGCCGUAA